rnacentral:rRNA from 1 species
AUUGAACGCUGGCGGCAGGCCUAACACAUGCAAGUCGAGCGGAUGAAGGGAGCUUUCUCCUGGAUUCAGCGGCGGACGGGUGAGUAAUGCCUAGGAAUCUGCCUGGUAGUGGGGGAUAACGUCCGGAAACGGGCGCUAAUACCGCAUACGUCCUGAGGGAGAAAGUUGUGGAUCUUCGGACCUCACGCUAUCAUAUUAGCCUAGGUCGGAUUAGCUAGUUGGUUGGGUAAAGGCCUACCAAGGCGACGAUCCGUAACUGGUCUGAGAGGAUGAUCAGUCACACUGGAACUGAGACACGGUCAAGACUCCUACGGGAGGCAGCAGUGGGGAAUAUUGGACAAUGGGCGAAAGAAUGAUACAGAAAUGCCGCGUGUGUGAAGAAGGUAUUCGGAUUGUAAAGCACUUUAAGUUGGGAGGAAGGGCAGUAAGUUAAUACCUUGCUGUUUUGACGUUACCAACAGAAUAAGCACCGGCUAACUUCGUG